UUUAAGUUGCCUGCGAAACUACACUCCUUUUGCUCAUACAAUUUCACUAAAAUUAUUCUUUGGAAAUAUCUCUCUCUAUACCCAUCGAUUCUCUCUGUCCAAACCCUAUCCCCCAUUGAAUCUGCCUCCAAGCUCUACCACCGUCGUAAGCACUUCGUCUCUGUCGCCGUUGUAAGCACUUCGUCUCUGCGUCUAAGUUCUACUGGUUUCUCUCACCCGAUGAUUCUUCGUCUGUUGCCGUCAACCAGAAGAGGGACCUCACACCUCUCUCUCUCUCUCUCUCUCUCUCCUUCUUCAAUUUAUUGAUUUUGACUAUAAUUUUAGAUACACUUUCUUUGAAUUUGAAAGAUAUGGGAACCUCGUAAUUUCAUAUACAACUUAGGGAUUGCCCAUUUGCUAAUGACUAAGCAAGUUGAUAUAGUCUGCUAAGUUAAAUGUGUAAAUUCCUUUAGAAAUGUAAUUAGUUUGCAGCUCUGAUAAUGAUAAAAAGACUCAUGCAUCAUCUAUUUUUGCUAUGUCCUGCUGAUUCUUCUUUACGGGCUAGAUUGUUUUCGGUGGCUGGAAAUGCGUAGGGAAAUUACACUUCCUGCUGAUUCUUCUUUAUGGGCUAGAUUUUGAAAUUUUUCGAUGGAAAAAAGAGGGGUGUUGGGCUGGGUUAUUGUGCUGGGUUAAUUAACUUGGAUGUUGUCAUGGAUACCAAAAUUUAGCAAAUACAUAUAUGUAUUUAUAUAUGGGAACAAACCCAGCUUAGAUGGGACCACCUUGCAUAUGCAUGAUGCAUAUCUCUGAAUCAACAGCUGCCAAUUAAUCUCUGUAAUUUGACCAACCUUUUUUUGUUUUGAUUCAAACAUUUUUCCCUCUUUCAAUCCUCGGUUGGCCUUUUGGGUUUUCUGCUCAAAGGCAAAGGCCAUUAUUAUGUCACUAUCUUCUUCACACCCACAUACUUUAUGAUUUUACUCACUGAUAAGAUUGUGGAGUUUAUUUAUUUGCAUGUAUUUGAAGAUUAUUAAAUUUUUCUCUUGACAAAAUGAUUAUUAAAAUGAUUAAAAUGUAUGAUAGGCCUUGAUCAUUGAUCUUAAUGCUGGAAAGUGAAAUUUUUUUAAAUGGAACGUAAUGAAUCUAACUAAAGCUUUUUCUUUUCUGAAACUGCAUAUGGUACACUGUUUCCAUAUCAAACAUAUACAAUUUAUGAUAUGUUGUGUAGUUCUUUGAUGGAAAAUUUCUCCCCACCAAGUGUGUAGCUCUGAGUUUUCACAAAAUGAUGUAGGGGUCUCUGUUCUUUGGAAUGAGUUAUGUUCACAUUCUCUGUGAAGGAUGUCCAUUAUUUCAUAAGAGGAUGUUCAAUGUAUUCAUAUGCCUAUUACCUUCGUAUAUGUGAUUGUGGGCCUAAGAAAUAUCUAAAGAAACAUGAUUGUUUGGUUAAAUCCCAAAAAAGUGGAGAGGAAUGAAUAAAUUGAGUAUUGAGUCCAAUUAUAACCAGGUUUUGGUGUGUCUUUCUCUGAAGCUGUGUAUUCUGUGUAUAAGCUUAUAUUGAGAAACCUUUUUUUGUGGGAAUUGUUAGAUGGAUCUCAUACCAGUUAUAUGCUUUUCUAGACCAUAGAUAUCUCAAAUUUCGUUUCUUUUUAUGAAAAAAUAUAUAGCUGUUAACCUUUUUUUUUUCGUUAUGGUUUUUUUUUUUUCCAUGUGUACCAGGUCAGAAAAAUGAGAUGAUUGUCAUGAGGCAGAUUGUUGCUUUGAAUGUGCUAGAGGAGUAGCAUAUUUGGUGCAAUAAGCUUAUACUUGCUGGUAUUUUGUUUCUUUCAACUAUGUGAUGGUUCAAUUAUACUUGCUGGUAUUUUCUUUCUUUCUUUAACUUGAUAUUGUUUUGUGUGAUCAGUUGUGUCGUGUGGUGGAUGUUUUAUAUGAAAUAUAUCCAUAUAACCAUUAUUAGGACUAAUAAUUACUUGUAUGACGUGUGAAGUGGUUUUUUAUUUUUUGUCCUCAUUGUUUUGUGAUGUAUAUUGAUUCCCUUAUCCGUAUUAAUUCAUCCAUGUCUGUGGACUUUUCAAGGAAAGACAAAAAGAAGCCAUUAUGGAUAAAGAAUGGGUGAACUUUUCAAGGGUAAUUUUAAAGUCCCAAACUUUAGAUAUUAAGAUAGUGUAUAUUACAUGUAUAAUUCCUUAGUAAAAUGAUGAGUUUUUUUAUAUAUAGAGAUUCUAGAGUGUAACGUAAUGGGGCCAAAGGGUUUGUUGAUACGGUUCAAGCUAAUAACGGAGAUCCAAAAAAGAUUCAAUGCCCGUGCAGUUGUUGUUUAAACCUACAACAUCACCAUCAUGGUAUAGUUUAUGGGCACUUGGUCAUGAAUGGAAUGGAUCCUACGUAUACUAGGUGGAUCUUUCAGGGGGAAGAACCAAGUUCAUCAGUACAAGAUGAAUAUAGGGAAAUGCCAGAGACAUAUUUCAUUUAUAGAGAUGCAUUCCUUCAAGAUGAUGAUGUUGUUGAACCUACACAAGAUAGAGAAGAGCUGAAUUUUAAAAAUUUAGUGGAUGACGCAGAACUUCCCUUAUACACGGGUUGUUCUUACACAAAGAUGUCUGCAAUUGUUGUCUUAUACAAGUAUAAGGCUAGGCAUAGUCUAACUGAUAUAGCUUUUGACGGGCUUCUUCAUCUUCUUCAUGGUUUUCUACCACGUGAUAACAGACUUCCAAAUUCUUUGUAUAUAACCAAAAAAUUACUCAAUGAUUUUGAUCUAGGAUAUGAGAAGAUACAUGCUUGUGUGCAAGAUUGCUGUUUAUUUAGAAAAGAUUUAAAGGAGAGGGAGACAUGUCCAAAGUGUGGUUCUUCACAGUGGAAAAUUAAUGAGCGUACCAAAAAAAUUCAACAAGGAGUCCCUCCAAAGAUCUUGCUUUACUUUCCAAUCAUACCAAGAUUUAGGAGAAUGUUUAAGUCACCGGAAAAGGCAGAAUCAUUACACUGAUAGAAGUCAUGACGGUAAGAUGCGACAUCCAGUUGACGCAUUGGCAUCGAAUGGGAUUGAUAAUAAGUGGCCUUCUUUUGCUUCAGAUCCACGUAAUCUUAGACUAGGCCUUUCAUCUGAUGGAUUUAAUCCUUUCGAUGAUCUUAGUUCUAAAUAUAGUUGUUGGCCCGUGAUUUUGGUUGCAUAUAAUCUCCUCCCAUCUCUAUGCAUGUCCAAGGAGAAUUUAAUGUUGACAUUACUCAUCCCAGGGCCAAGGCAACCCAGAAACGAUAUAGAUAUAUAUUUGGAACCACUUGUAGAAGAUUUGAAAGAGUUAUGGAUCAAUGGUGUAAGUGUUUAUGAUGCUUUCAACAAGUCCACAUUCAAUCUGAAAGCAUAUUGAUGUGGACAAUAAACGACUUUCCAGCUUAUGGGAAUUUGUCCAGAUAUUCCACGAAGGGUUAGAAAGCAUGUCCAGUGUACGGGGUUGACACAUGUUCAAAGUGGCUGACUCAUAGUAGAAAGUGUGUGUACAUGAAUUAUAGAAGGUUUCUUGCACACAACCAUCCAUUUUGAGGAAAAGCAGGGUGGUUUGAUGGACUAUAGAAUGUGGACAAAAGCCUAGAACAUUAACCGGUUUAGAAGUUCUUCAAGUUGUGAAGAAUUUCAAUAAUGAUUGGGGAAAAGCAAAGAAAAAGAUCAACACAAAAAGGAAGAGAAAGACAGAUAAAUAUUCUAUAUGGCCUUGGAAAAAGAAAUCAGUUUUCUUUGAGUUGCCUUAUUGGGAGAGUGAGAGUGAAGAUUGAGCAGACAUAAGUAAUGGUUGUUGAAUCCUCAAAACAGGGAAAAAAGAAAGCAAAGAAGCAGCGAUUGGAUGUUGCUGCUGCUGCAACAAUUGUCGCAGCAAGGAAUAGAUCCUUGCGUAUAUCAGAUAGAGGUUCUAAUUCUCCAUCUCGAGAUGAACCCAAUGAAGUACCAAUAGUCAAGGAAUGCAAGAAGACAACUCUAACAAAGAAGCACCAAAGAAGAAGACUUAGGGCCACAGAAAAGUGAGACACCUGAUGCAAUUUCAAGGACUGAUGUUUGGAUCUAUGGAUACGAAAAGAGAAAGAAGAAUGAGGAUGAUGACGUUGAGGAUCCAGAUUUAGUGGUGAAAACUGUUUGCUGCAUAUUUUUAGUGUUUAUCCUGUGAUUGAUAUUUAAGUUUUUAUUUUUCUGGUGGUCAAUUUUCAGAAAGAAGUGAAAAAGUACAAAAAAGAACAAGGACAACAAAAAUGUUCUAUUACAGAUGAUGCUGUAGUAAAAGUACUCGGUCCUGAUCCACGAGGAAGAGUAAGAGGAAUGGGGUUUGGGGCAACGGUUUCAAAGAUUGAAGGUCAAGUUCGUGUUCGUGAUCAAUUUAAUAGAUUGGAAAAUGAGAUUAUAGAAUUGAAAAACCAAAUGACAGAUCUUCUUACUCGAAUAGUAAAGGGGAGAUUAAUAUUGAGAAGGAAAACUAAGUGUCCAAUAUUCUGCUAAUGAGAGUGUACAAAGCAAACAAAAGGUAAAUAAUAAUGUUCAAAAUUCUGCUAAUGAGAUGGCACAAAGCAAACAAAAGGAAAAUCCAGCUGAGAAUGCAAAGUGUAAACUGUUAAAUUGGAUUGGGACAAGUGAAGUUAUUGGAAUUAGGGAAAUUGCAUCAACUGAUCCCAAUUCAUUAGUCCAUCAUGUGCCUCUUGGUCACGAGUGCUGGAAAGUUUGGGUGAAUGAUGUAAUGGAUGAUAAUAUGGCCUUGUUUCGACCAGCAUGUGAGUUCUUUCUUCUUCGUGAAGCAUUAGGAACUACGAUUGCAUGGCCUAUCAAGUACAUCAAAUUGUGUUAGCGUUGCAUCUUUGAGGUUUUUCUCAAAGGGUCAAAGAAUGCUCAUGAAUAUUGUCUACUGCUAAAGGACAUUAUUUUAGCAUAGGUUCAUGUUAGAGACUUAUUUUUGUUGCUAACGUCACUAGUGAAUGAAUUCGAGGCUAUGAAAAUGUUUGGGAAUGUUUGGCAGCACUCUUAUGUGUUUCUUAUGUACUCUUAAGAGUUCGUAUUUUGAAUUGAUUAUGAUGGUGAUUUCAAUGAUUAGUUUUUUUUUAUAUA